UCCAGAGCCCUUCCGAACAUACAGAUACUGAUAGAGAAUUCUUUAUUCUGGUUUAACCACGUAGGUAAGAGAGGAGAACUGUUUUGCCUUAAUUGCACAGGAGUCAGCCCUGGAGGAGCACCUGUGAGAGGGCAGCCCUUGCUGCUCCUUCCCCUGAAACACUGAGCUGACAGCAAGGCAACCAGGGAUCAGCAUGAAGCCCACGCUAGCUUUCCAUCCCGCUCUCCGCUGCAGCUUUGGCUGACGGCUGGCCCAAGCCAUCGAGCCACGCGCGGCACAUGGGGUCUCGGCGGGGAACGAAGCCGAGGCCACACGACGCCUGUGAGAUGUGGGCCUGAGAGAAGAAUCUCCCUGAACUGAACAAAUGUGUCACUUUUGAAUAAGGAUUCAUGAAAAGGCAGAAAAGGAGAAGAAAAAAGAAUAAAGGAAGAGGUCAAGACAAGGAAGGUCUGAAGAAGAAAAUGCUUUUGGGAAAGGUAAGAAGAAACUGUGUUAAUGUUUUUUUAGAGGUUUCAUUGAUUUUCUGUCCCACUAGAAAAAAUUGUUCUCUAAAGUUUCUCAGGUUGACAGUUUUUCUUGUUGCAACUACAGAUCUUCUUCCACUUCUUUCUUAACAUGUUUAAUUUCCAUCUUUUUCUCUUGAUCUUUAAAAUUAAAGAUACUGCUUAGCCUCCCAUAUGUUGCUUUAACAAUGUGAAUUUCCCACUUCUGGGCCUUCCUAGAUUCUAUGUUGCCUUCUUCCAACAUAUUUGAUAACAAAUGUGGUUUUGCUCUAGGUAAUCGUUGUCCUUGUCUGCCAUUUUGAUUGUCAUACCACUCUUUCAGCUACCUGUAAUUCCUCAGUAUUAAGUCCAAACUCUCCGUACUCGUUUAAAAGCAGUGUGUCUUUUCCUUUCCCUACUUAUUUGCCUUUG
rnacentral:lncRNA from 1 species